GCCUAAUACAUGCAAGUCGAGGGGUAGAGAGAGCUUGCUUUCUUGAGACCGGCGCACGGGUGCGUAACGCGUAUGCAACCUACCUUUAUCUGGGGGAUAGCCCGGAGAAAUCCGGAUUAAUACCGCAUAAAAUCACAGAAUAGCAUUAUUUAAUGAUCAAACAUUUAUGGGAUGAAGAUGGGCAUGCGUGUCAUUAGCUAGUUGGCGGGGUAACGGCCCACCAAGGCGACGAUGACUAGGGGAUCUGAGAGGAUGGCCCCCCACACUGGUACUGAGACACGGACCAGACUCCUACGGGAGGCAGCAGUAAGGAAUAUUGGUCAAUGGAGGCAACUCUGAACCAGCCAUGCCGCGUGCAGGAAGACUGCCCUAUGGGUUGUAAACUGCUUUUAUCCGGGAAUAAACCUUUCUACGUGUAGGAAGCUGAAUGUACCGGAAGAAUAAGGAUCGGCUAACUCCGUGCCAGCAGCCGCGGUAAUACGGAGGAUCCAAGCGUUAUCCGGAUUUAUUGGGUUUAAAGGGUGCGUAGGCGGCCUGUUAAGUCAGGGGUGAAAGACGGUAGCUCAACUAUCGCAGUGCCCUUGAUACUGAUGGGCUUGAAUGGACUAGAGGUAGGCGGAAUGAGACAAGUAGCGGUGAAAUGCAUAGAUAUGUUUCAGAACACCGAUUGCGAAGGCAGCUUACUAUGGUCUUAUUGACGCUGAGGCACGAAAGCGUGGGGAUCAAACAGGAUUAGAUACCCUGGUAGUCCACGCCCUAAACGAUGAACACUCGCUGUUGGCGAUACACAGUCAGCGGCUAAGCGAAAGCGUUAAGUGUUCCACCUGGGGAGUACGCCCGCAAGGGUGAAACUCAAAGGAAUUGACGGGGGCCCGCACAAGCGGAGGAGCAUGUGGUUUAAUUCGAUGAUACGCGAGGAACCUUACCCGGGCUUGAAAGUUAGUGAAUGAUCUAGAGAUAGAUCAGUGAGCAAUCACACGAAACUAGGUGCUGCAUGGCUGUCGUCAGCUCGUGCCGUGAGGUGUUGGGUUAAGUCCCGCAACGAGCGCAACCCCUAUGUUUAGUUGCCAGCAUGUAAUGAUGGGGACUCUAAACAGACUGCCUGUGCAAACAGAGAGGAAGGAGGGGACGACGUCAAGUCAUCAUGGCCCUUACGUCCGGGGCUACACACGUGCUACAAUGGAUGGUACAGAGGGCAGCUAGCUGGCAACAGUAUGCGAAUCUCACAAAGCCAUUCACAGUUCGGAUUGGGGUCUGCAACUCGACCCCAUGAAGUUGGAUUCGCUAGUAAUCGCGUAUCAGCAAUGACGCGGUGAAUACGUUCCCGGGCCUUGUACACACCGCCCGCCAAGCCAUGGAAGUUGGGGGUACCUAAAGUAUGUAACCGCAAGGAGCGUCCUAGGGUAAAACCGAUAACUGGGGCUAAGUCAUAAC
rnacentral:rRNA from 1 species